rnacentral:tRNA from 1 species
GGUCCUGUAGCUCAGCGGGAGAGCACUACGUUGACAUCGUAGGGGUCGCUGGUUCAAUCCCAGCCGGGACCACCA